rnacentral:rRNA from 1 species
AAGGUAGCGAAAUUCCUUGUCGGGUAAGUUCCGACCUGCACGAAUGGCGUAACGAUGGCCACACUGUCUCCUCCCGAGACUCAGCGAAGUUGAAGUGUUUGUGAUGAUGCAAUCUCCCCGCGGCUAGACGGAAAGACCCCAUGAACCUUUACUGUAGCUUUGCAUUGGACUUUGAACCGGUCUGUGUAGGAUAGGUGGGAGGCUUUGAAGCGUGAACGCCAGUUUGCGUGGAGCCAUCCUUGAAAUACCACCCUGAUCUGUUUGAGGUUCUAACCCUGGUCCGUGAAUCCGGACCGGGGACAGUGCAUGGUAGGCAGUUUGACUGGGGCGGUCUCCUCCCAAAGUGUAACGGAGGAGUACGAAGGUACGCUAGGUACGGUCGGAAAUCGUGCUGAUAGUGCAAUGGCAUAAGCGUGCUUGACUGCGAGACCGACAAGUCGAGCAGGUGCGAAAGCAGGUCAUAGUGAUCCGGUGGUUCUGUAUGGAAGGGCCAUCGCUCAACGGAUAAAAGGUACUCUGGGGAUAACAGGCUGAUACCGCCCAAGAGUUCAUAUCGACGGCGGUGUUUGGCACCUCGAUGUCGGCUCAUCUCAUCCUGGGGCUGUAGCCGGUCCCAAGGGUAUGGCUGUUCGCCAUUUAAAGAGGUACGUGAGCUGGGUUUAAAACGUCGUGAGACAGUUUGGUCCCUAUCUGCCGUGGGCGCUGGAUAUUUGAAGGGGGCUGCUCCUAGUACGAGAGGACCGGAGUGGACGAACCUCUGGUGUACCGGUUGUCACGCCAGUGGCAUCGCCGGGUAGCUAUGUUCGGAAGAGAUAACCGCUGAAAGCAUCUAAGCGGGAAACUCGCCUUAAGAUGAGAUAUCCCCGGGGCUUCGAGCCCCUUGAAGGGUCGUUCAAGACCAGGACGUUGAUAGGUCAGGUGUGUAAGCGCAGUAAUGCGUUGAGCUAACUGAUACUAAUUGCCCGUAAGGCUUGAUCCUAUAACCAGUGUGUUUC